AGCGAACGCUGGCGGCAGGCCUAACACAUGCAAGUCGAGCGCCCCGCAAGGGGAGCGGCAGACGGGUGAGUAACACGUGGGAACGUGCCCUUCGGUUCGGAAUAGCCCGGGGAAACUCGGAGUAAUACCGGAUACGUCCGUAAGGAGAAAGAUUUAUCGCCGAAGGAGCGGCCCGCGUCUGAUUAGCUUGUUGGUGAGGUAACGGCUCACCAAGGCUACGAUCAGUAGCUGGUCUGAGGGGAUGAUCAGCCACACUGGGACUGAGACACGGCCCAGACUCCUACGGGAGGCGGCAGUGGGGAAUAUUGGACAAUGGGCGCAAGCCUGAUCCAGCCAUGCCGCGUGAGUGAUGAAGGCCCUAGGGUUGUAAAGCUCUUUCGGCGGGGAAGAUAAUGACGGUACCCGCAGAAGAAGCCCCGGCCAACUUCGUGCCAGCCGCCGCAGUAAGAC
rnacentral:rRNA from 1 species